CCUGUAGCUCUGUGUUUACUGAGAGGAUAGAGUGGAGCGCAAAGGAUGCUUCAGGCUCACUUUAUUGAUCUCCAUCAGAUGGCAGCAGUUCCUCUUCUCUGUCAGAGCAUGCUUUGGGUCCCAGAUGAUGCUGUCGGAGCCUCUCAGGUUAUUAUGCGAUGUGAGUCAGGAAGUCUCUGACAGGGUGACCAACAAUCUGUGAGCAGAGUUUUAACCGGUGGAGCAGUUUAGAUUUGAAAGCAGUUGACAAACACUUGUACCAGGAAGUGUUGCAGUACUGUCAUGUCGAUGUGACCUGAAAUAUGCCCCCCCCCCUGGAUUAUCCCCCCCAGGCGCACGGACGUGGUGACGGUGACGCCCUGGCUGGCGCCGGUGGUUUGGGACGGGACCUUUGACCCGGUCCUGCUGGACGGCCUCUACAGACCCAGGAACAUCAGCGUGGCCGUCACCGUGUUCGCCGUGGGAAAGUACAUCCGUUUCCUGGAGGCCUUCCUGCAGACGGCGGAGCAGCACUUCUUCGUUGGUUUCAAUGUUCACGUUUACAUUUUCACCGACCAGCCGAACGAGGUCCCCCGGGUCCACAUGGCCCCCGGCAGACAGGUAACAGCUGGUCAAUAAACCUGUAGACUGAUCCCAGACCAGAGUCCUGCAGUUAGCUUCAGAGACACAAACCCAGAGUCCUGCAGUUAGCUUCAGACACAAACCCAGAGACCUGUAGCUAGCUUCAGAGACACAAACCCAGAGACCUGCAGCUAGCUUCAGAGACACAAACCCAGAGACCUGUAGCUAGCUUCAGAGACACAAACCCAGAGACCUGUAGCUAGCUUCAGAGACACAAACCCAGAGACCUGUAGCUAGCUUCAGAGACACAAACCCAGAGACCUGUAGCUAGCUUCAGAGACACAAACCCAGAGUCCUGUAGCUAGCUUCAGAGACACAAACCCAGAGACCUGUAGCUAGCUUCAGAGACACAAACCCAGAGACCUGUAGCUAGCUUCAGAGACACAAACCCAGAGUCCUGUAGCUAGCUUCAGACACAAACCCAGAGUCCUGUAGCUAGCUUCAGACACAAACCCAGAGUCCUGCAGUUAGCUUCAGAGACACAAACCCAGAGACCUGUAGCUAGCUUCAGAGACA